rnacentral:misc_RNA from 1 species
GAUGAAGAACGCAGCAAAAUGCGAUAAGUAAUGUGAAUUGCAGAAUUCAGUGAAUCAUCGAAUCUUUGAACGCACAUUGCGCCCGCUGGUAUUCCGGCGGGCAUGCCUGUUCGAGCGUCAUUUCAACCCUCAAGCCCCCGGGUUUGGUGUUGGGGAUCGGCUCUGCCCUUCUGGGCGGUGCCGCCCCCGAAAUACAUUGGCGGUCUCGCUGCAGCCUCCAUUGCGUAGUAGCUAACACCUCGCAACUGGAACGCGGCGCGGCCAUGCCGUAAAACCCCAACUUCUGAAUGUUGACCUCGGAUCAGGUAGGAAUACCCGCUGAACUUAAGCAUAUCAAUAAGGGAGGA